GGGUCAUAGCUUAGUGGUGGAACAUAUGCUUUGCAUGCAGAAGGUUCCAGGUUCAAACCCCAGCAUAUCCA